rnacentral:lncRNA from 1 species
AAACUCCGGUAGGGAACAGAUCGCUGUAUCAAUCCUUGAAUGCUCUGUGGGGAAUGAUCCGUCUGCCGGGACCAAUGAGCCACCAAAAAUAAAUUGGCUGCUUGAAAAGUUGACCUUGCGGGGGGAGUAUCAACUAUGGAAACUUUGUUCGGCGAGGCUCUGUGAGGAGAGUCUGUGGGGAAAACACUUCCUGGGGAAAUGUCGUAGGAAACGACCUUUGCUGGGGAUAUGAACUUGCUAAUCACCCUCAAGCUGGGGAUUAACAAAUCUGUUAAAAAUAAUCUGCUGGGGAAUGAGAUGAACACUGGGAAC